UACGAAGGGUGCAAGCGUUACUCGGAAUUACUGGGCGUAAAGCGUGCGUAGGUGGUUUGUUAAGUCUGCUGUGAAAGCCCCGGGCUCAACCUGGGAAUGGCAGUGGAUGCUGGCAAGCUAGAGUGCGGUAGAGGGGUGUGGAAUUCCCGGUGUAGCGGUGAAAUGCGUAGAGAUCGGGAGGAACACCAGUGGCGAAGGCGGCACCCUGGACCAGCACUGACACUGAGGCACGAAAGCGUGGGGAGCAAACAGG
rnacentral:rRNA from 1 species